rnacentral:lncRNA from 10 species
CGCACAGGACCGGCGACGGCUGCACUGGGGCUGGAACUGGCGGCAGGGCAUUGUCAGGGCGGGACCCGGCGAUCGCAGGGUGGGCGGCUUGCAGGGAUCAGAAGCAGGAGGCAGGAGGUCCGGGCACCCGGCUCUGGGCAUCAGGCCGCUCUUUAUCCUGAAUCCCCGCCUCCCUCUGCCCUGACGCCCUGCGCGCACUCCAUCUCAGGCCGCGAAGUGGGCCAUGUGAGCAGUCUCCCUCCUCCUUUCCCCGCGGGCGACACGAGGAGCCCAGGGCGCAGCGGGCUCGAAUCACAUAGUGCCCGCCCCGGAUUUCGUGCGCAGAGAGAACCCCAGGCCCCACAGGCCCUCCCACGCUCUGCCCAGAUCCCUGGGCAAGAGUCCACCGUCAGCAUCGUCGCUUAGUGCUCUCCCUGGUUAUUCCAGAAACACCAGUCGCUGAGGAUCUCUCACCUGCAGUUCCCUGCUGGAUCUUCAUUCUGACUGGUAGGCACCCCACUUCACUAAAGUGGAUAUGUGCCAUCCCAGUCCGGGGGGCCAUGAAUGCACCCAUCCUGCUAUUGGGUAAGUUGUCCACACGAUGAUGACUGUAACCCAUCCUGACAUGCUCUUAUGAGCCUGAAAGGCAGUGUAUGCAGUUACUAACUGCUUCUUUAUUAAUGAACACCAGAGCUCAGCUCCCUUCCAUAUAGCUGGGACUAAAAGCUUACUGGUUCUUCCAAGUACUCCAUGCACUGCCAUAGGCUCUAACCAAUACUAUCUGUAAUUUCAUGUACAUCAAGUUUAAAUGGGAGCCCCUGGUUAACUACCUGCAGGGCUUGAGCCUGCUGAAUAGCCUGCUUGGCUAUUGGAAAAGGCUGCCUCAGUCUUAUCCAAAUCUAAGGCAAGAGGGGCGUUGCCACUUUUAAAUCUGCAAGAGAAUCAGAAGUUAACAUAACAUCAUCAACAAGACUAUGACAUAGAGUGGGGCUAUGCAUAUUGCCCUGUAGCAACACUGUGAAAGUCCAUUGUCACCCUCCAAUGAAGGCAAACUAUUCCUGGUUCUCUGGACAAGAAUCCCAGUUCCAUUGUUAAGCAGUCCAGCAAGUCUGUGACAGAUGGUACAGCUGCCAAGCCGUGUAAAACAUCCCCAGCCAGAAUGUCCUCAGGCAUGGGAGAGACAUACACAGUUCAUGAGCGGAAAACCAAGCAGCAGAUACCAAGAUGCAAAGAUACAGGUUUCGCUUUCACUGACCAGUCUUCAUAACCAUCAAUAACUGCAGCUCUGCCCAGAAACUUAUCCGGGUUCAGAGUCCAGUAGAUUGCCAAGUCCACAUAUGGUCUUUGGUCAUCCAGUGCCCCCCUAAGCCAGGCAUCUUGGUCAGUCUCUUAUCAAACAGAAAAGGCUUUACACUUCCACCUAACUGCAGCAGGCAGUCUGUGAACUGGAAUGCUUGGGCAGGACUGGGUUGCGCAGCAAUGUCCUUCUCCCAUGUGACUUACACUAAGUCUGCACAUGACUGCCGAGAUUACUUG